rnacentral:rRNA from 1 species
GAUGAACGCUAGCUACAGGCUUAACACAUGCAAGUCGAGGGACCGGCGCACGGGAGAGUAACACGUAUCCAACCUGCCCUUUACUCGGGGAUAGCCUUUCGAAAGAAAGAUUAAUACCCGAUAUAAAGGAUGGGGAUGCGUUCCAUUAGGUUGUUGGUGAGGUAACGGCUCCCCAAGCCUGCGAUGGAUAGGGGUUCUGAGAGGAAGGUCCCCCACAAUGGAACUGAGACACGGUCCAAACUCCUACUGGAGGCAGCAGUGAGGAAUAUUGUUCAAUGGUGGCUAUCCUGAACAAGCCAAUUAGCGUGAAGGAUGAAGGCUUAUGGGUCGUAAACUGCUUUUACAUAAGAAGAUGUAUUAUAUUAAUAAGGAUCGGCUAACUCCGUGCCAGCCGCCGCGGUAAUUC